UCACACUUCCAUCAAACAGUACCUGCCCCUUAGGUGUGCUAGGAAAUAAAUGAAAUGCCUGGGACAUCAUCGUUAAGUGGCAUCUGAUGCAUAAGCAGUGCCCUAGGAACGGGGUUGCCUGCCUUGGUCUCUAAAGGAUGGGUUCAAAAGGCAAGAGCAACAUACAAGAAGAUAGCUUCAAGCAGGAGAAAAAGCUUGGCCAAGGGCCCAAAGGGGAUACGACCCUUCAGGUUGGCCCUGACCUCUGGGUUGGAUUACCAGUGACACAAUGAACAUUUCAUUAUGAGGCCAUCCCUUGAGCAAACUGACAUGCUGAAAGCUGCCCUAUGGAGAGGCUCAUGUGGCAAGGAACAGAGGGUAGCUUCUGGCCAACACCCAGUGAGGAACUCAGGCCCUCAGUCAAACAGCCUGCAAGGAACUGAACCCUGCCAAUAACCAGGCAGUGUCAGCCCCCGGCCAAUGACCACCAUGGACCUCCCUCUGGUUGAACAAAGUUGGGUUUGCUGACUGGUGGCAGUGAGGGAGAAUGCACACCACAGGGAGCUGUGCAGUGUCUCAGUAAGAAGCCAGGAGCCAUCCCGUGAGGCCGUUACUGCAAACAAGCUGAAAAUCCUGCUUUGUUUCUUUUGGACACAACAUGCUUUCCUUCAGCUUCAGUAGACGAUGAGGCCAGCACCACAUGGGCUAGAUGUACAUGAGAUGUGAGCAACCACACUUCCCCUCUGACGGGGACAGACAGCAUCACAGGACAUGAAGUUCUAAGAGGUUCAGUGACUUGUCUAAGAUUAAACAGCUAUGAAUGGAGAACUGGAGGCAAAUGCCUCAUCAUCUCUCACCUGGGCAACUGCAACAAUGAGCAGCUUGUGUCUGUGCCUGCAUCCAUCCUUCCAUCCUGUUCUCCAGCAGCAGCCAGGGUGGUCUUUCAAAAAUGCAAAGCUGAUAAUGUUACUCCCCUGCUGUAAACCUUCCAGCGGUUUCCUAUUGCCUUCAGAAUAAAAUACAAAUCGUCUGGCCUCCAUCUAUCUCUCCAGGCUCAUCCUCUCUCAAUUUUCCAUAUCCUUCAGUAUCCUGUUGGGACAGACAGAUGAAGAACCAGAGACCCAGAGAGGUUAAGUAGCUUGCCAAAGGUCACGCAGCAGUGUAAGCAGUACGGAUGAUUCUUAAGCCCACAUUGUUUGACUUCCGAGACAUAUCAGAAAACUACGUCAAAGAACACGCACAACUCAGACCUAUUUCCAGUGGCCUAUGCAGAAGAGCUACCCUGCUUGAAUGGAAACCCCUUAAGAUAUACUAUUCUCGAAAACCUAAGUGCUUAGCCUGGUUUAUGGAGGAGGCAAUGCAAUCUACCACAAGAUGAUUAAGACAACAAUGAACUUAAGUCCCAGCCACUGCUGGAGAAUAUCUGCCUGUGAAUUCAAUUUGGUUCAAUUCAAUCCGA